CAGCACUUUGAAUGACAAUUUACUAAAAUUGGAAUGGCACAGAGAAGAUUAGCAUGACCCCUGCACAAGGAUGACAUGCAAAUUCACGAAGCAUUCUGUAUUUUA
ensembl:snRNA U6 U6 spliceosomal RNA